GCGGUUAUACGUUAUUUAUGAAUAAUUUAUUUUAGAAAAUGCAUAAUUUUAUAUAAAUAUUUAUAUGCAAUAAAGGGGUGAAAUCUUUUAAAUGUAAUAUUAUUUAUUCUUAAAAUCAUACUAUUAAGAAAGAAACUAGGAUUAGAUACCCUAUUAUUCUUAAGAAUUUUUUAAAAAUCUAAAGUAGUAAAAAUUGAAACUUAAAAAUUUUGGCAGUAUUCAAUUUUUUAGAGAAAUAUGUAAUUUAAUCGAAAAUACACGAAAAUCUUACUUAUUUUAUUUUUGUAUAUCUCCGUUGACAGAUUUUUAUAAAAAAUAAAAUAAUUUUCUAUAAAUAAGAUAUAUGACAUCAGGUCAAGGUGCAGAAUAAAUAAGUUAUUAUGUAUUACAUUCAAAUUUAAUUGAGAUGAAUAGAUAAUUGGAAAUAUUAUUUUGAAAAUGAAUUUAUAAGUAAAAUAAAAGAAUAAUUUUAUUUGAAAUAUUAUUGAAUAUG
rnacentral:rRNA from 1 species